rnacentral:rRNA from 1 species
AGAGUUUGAUCCUGGCUCAGGAUGAACGCUAGCUACAGGCUUAACACAUGCAAGUCGAGGGGAAACGACAUCGAAAGCUUGCUUUUGAUGGGCGUCGACCGGCGCACGGGUGAGUAACGCGUAUCCAACCUGCCCAUCACUUGGGGAUAACCUUGCGAAAGUAAGACUAAUACCCAAUGACGUCUCUAGAAGACAUCUGAAAGAGAUUAAAGAUUUAUCGGUGAUGGAUGGGGAUGCGUCUGAUUAGCUUGUUGGCGGGGUAACGGCCCACCGAAGGCGACGAUCGAGUAGGGGUUCUGAGAGGAAGGUCCCCCANAUUGGAACUGAGACACGGUCCAAACUCCGUACGGGAGCA